rnacentral:rRNA from 1 species
UACAGAGGGUGCGAGCGUUAAUCGGAAUUACUGGGCGUAAAGGGUGCGUAGGUGGUUUGAUUAGUUAGGUGUGAAAGUCCUGGGCUUAACCUGGGGACUGCGCCUAAUACUGUCAAGCUAGAGUACUGUAGAGGAAGGUAGAAUUUCCAGUGUAGCGGUGAAAUGCGUAGAUAUUGGAAGGAAUACCUGUGGCGAAGGCGACCUUCUGGACAGAUACUGACACUGAGGCACGAAAGCGUGGGGAGCAAACAGG